GAAUUGUAGCAGGGAACCAUGCGCGGAGGAAACUUUAAGGAAGACGACGUCGGCUUUUUUGUCGUUUCCCAGAAGGGGAAUGCUCCACAUGGCGGCGGAGGAGUCCGAUCUUCUUCUUGAGCUUGGAUUUUCUUCUCCCUCCUCCUCCUCCUUGUAUCUCAUUUAUUUCUCAGAUGGGUUUUUUUUUUCUAGCCCUCGUCAUUCCCGUUCAGUUUCUUCUGCAACCAAUUAAUAUUCAGCACCUGGACUUGCGUAGUGGUAGUGGAUUUGACUAGACUUCAGUUGGUGAACAGUCGACGAAAGGAAAUGAAAGUAGGAGACAGAGAGAGGUUAUUGGGUUUCUGAGUUUUUGUGAUUUUGCAGAUUCACGGUGGAGGUGAAAAAUUGAGAAAGAACCGACACAACUUUUUGUAUCGAUUCCCACAGACGGCGCCAAAUGUUAAUGCACAAAAUCGGAGGUCUUGGAACAACGUAAGUCCGACCGUGAAUCUGCAAGUAAUGUAAAUGACACAAGAUGUAUCGUGGUUCACCCCAAGGUUUGAGCUACGUUCACACUGAAUAUGUAUUUAUCUGAGAGGUGAGUGAGAGAACCUCUAAAUAUGAGAGGGGUUAGAAGGCUUCAGAAAUGGCCUCUGAUGUUGAGAAUGAGGUCUUCCCUAAUUGUGAGGGUGAGGGGUCCUUUUAUAGAAUAAGGACUCCUCACUUAUUACAUAUUUACCCUUUCAUUUAUCACAUAAUUACAUUUAAGUCCCCGAAUAUUUGUACGAGGUCUAAAUACGAGACCCUAAAUAUGGUAUAAACACCGUCAAAGUUGACAAAAUAUUCUCCUCUUUCAACCUUGGUUCGCCGGAGUCCGGCGCCGGUGCCGCUACGAUCGCCAGUUUCUAGAAAAUCUUACAACUUCAAUAUCUUCUUCAUUUCCCAACCGAAAUUCACGAAAUUUGUACCAAAUUGAAGCUUAGGAUGAGAGGAACAAAACCUUACCACUUUGGGGACCUAAAAUCAGCGGAAACUAGCCGGAAAAAAUCACGAGAAUCCGGCCACCCUGCAACUCACUAAACCUGAGCUUCUCGACGUUCAAAACCUUCCAAAAUUCUUCUAAAAGCUUUGUGAAGCAAUUAUAAGACUCCCUAGAUCCUUAAAACACGAAGAAAAGUCCGCGAUCACGACUGAGCUACUGUGCACCUCCUUGGAGCUUCUUGGUUCUCGAGAUUCCGACGUCCUCACGUCCAACCAAAGCUAUGGUUCAACUCCUAGACUCACAAGGAACACGAAAACCACAUCCUCUACGUCGAUUCGUGAGGGAUGGUGUUGGUUGAAUGAUGACCGUACGGGUUGUAUGGAUGAAUGGAAAAAUCCGAAAGAGAGGAGAGAGAGAGAGUCAACGGGAGUUUGGGUGUGUGUAUGGUCCAGUUUGCAGCCAAUCAAACAAAACCUUAAGUCCUUUAGUUCUAAUUGGGUCCAAUUACUUAGGAAUAGAACUAAUUGGUCCAAAUCUUAGCCCAUUUACACACACAUACACAAUUUAACGCUCAAGGGUAUAAAAGUCAUUUCACACCAUCAAAAAAUAUAUUUCGGUACGGGCUGUC
rnacentral:lncRNA from 1 species